CGGGGACCGUGGCGGUGUAGGUAGAAGCAGUGGUGGAGGAGGAGGAUGAGGUAGCCAACACUGUUUUUUAUGUUUUGUUUUUUUUAAAUUGUGGUAGCCCACAAAAUAUUGGGACAUAUAAAAAAAGACAACUCUGUUCCGCAGAGUAGCUGUUGACAUUAUAAUUGCGCAGGCACUUUGUUGACUCUAGAGAACCUCGGGCCAAUCGCACAUCCCCGUGGCGGCGACUUUACAUGCAGACGUCAUCCAUAUCAACUUUCGAUGCCAGUUUCUGCGCCUGCCAUGGAGACCACGGGUAACGGGGAAUCAGGGUUCCAUUCCGUACAGGGACCCUGAGAAAUGGCUACCACAUGCAAGGAAGGCAGCAGGCACGCAAAUGACCCACUCCUGACGCGGGAAGGUAGUGAUG